GAUUGAUCCUGCCGGACCUGACUGCUAUCGGAUUGGUACUAAGCCAUGCGAGUCGUUGUAGCAAUACAAGGCGGACUGCUCAGUAACACGUAGUUAACUUAACCUAUGGAUGGGCAUAACCUCGGGAAACUGAGAAUAAUACCCAAUGGACCACAGUGCCUGGAAUGGCCUGUGGUUGAAAUGAUUUAUCGCCGUAGGAUAGGACUGCGGCCUAUCAGCUUGUUGGUGAGGUAAUGGCCCACCAAGGCUAUAACAGGUACGGGCUCUGAGAGGAGGGGCCCGGAGAUGGGUACUGAGACACGGACCCAGGCCCUAUGGGGCGCAGCAGGCGAGAAACCUUUGCAAUGUGCGAAAGCACGACAAGGUUAAUCCGAGUGUCUCCUGCUAAAGGAGUCUUUUGUCAGUUGUAGAAUCACUGGUGAAUAAGGGGUGGGCAAGUUCUGGUGUCAGCCGCCGCGGUAAAACCAGCACCUCGAGUGGUCAGGAGGUUUAUUGGGCCUAAAGCAUCCGUAGCCGGUUGCAUAAGUUUUCGGUUAAAUCUAUGCGCUUAACGUAUAGGCCGCCGAAAAUA
rnacentral:rRNA from 1 species